UGGAAGUAAAAGUCGUAACAAGGUUUCCGUAGGUGAACCUGCGGAAGGAUCAUUAGUGAAUAUAGGACGUCCAGCUUAACUUGGAGUCCGAACUCUCACUUUCUAACCCUGUGCACUUGUUUGGGAUAGUAACUCUCGCAAGAGAGCGAACUCCUAUUCACUUAUAAACACAAAGUCUAUGAAUGUAUUAAAUUUUACAACAAAAUAAAACUUUCAACAACGGAUCUCUUGGCUCUCGCAUCGAUGAAGAACGCAGCGAAAUGCGAUAAGUAAUGUGAAUUGCAGAAUUCAGUGAAUCAUCGAAUCUUUGAACGCACCUUGCGCUCCAUGGUAUUCCGUGGAGCAUGCCUGUUUGAGUGUCAUGAAUACUUCAACCCUCCUCUUUCUUAAUGAUUGGAGAGGUGUUUGGUUUCUGAGCGCUGCUGGCCUUUACGGUCUAGCUCGUUCGUAAUGCAUUAGCAUCCGCAAUCGAAUUUCGGAUUGACUUGGCGUAAUAGACUAUUCGCUGAGGAAUUCUAGUCUUCGGAUUAGAGCCGGGUUGGGUUAAAGGGAGCUUCUAAUCAGAAUGUCUACAUUUUAAGAUUAGAUCUCAAAUCAGGUAGGACUACCCGCUGAACUUAAGCAUAUCAAUAAGCGGAGGA
rnacentral:rRNA from 1 species